CUUCACACUCCAUAACUCACCUCAGUCACCCUCUUCCGCCGGAGCUAAAACGCUGGUUGUGGGAGCUCAAAGGCUGUCCAUAGCCCUACAAAAUUAUAAGGGCAUCUAUCUAUUCUUGAUUUCCUUUUUUCUGAGUUGGUUUUGCUGAGAUCAUAGUCAGAAUGGCCAACAUUAUGCCAAUUCCUACUGAAUCGUGCAAGGUUGGUUUCAUUGGAGCUGGGAAAAUGGCAGAGAGCAUUGCCAGAGGUGUUGUCAGUUCAGGGGUUUUGCCGGCUUCCCAAGUCCGGACUGCUCAUCUUGGCGCGAGGCGUACUGUCUUUGAAUCAUUUGGAGUCAAAGUCUAUGAUCAGAAUAGUCAGGUAGUCCAAGAUAGCGAUGUAGUUAUAUUCUCUGUGAAACCUCAAGUUGUGAAAGACGUGGUGAUGCAGUUAAGGCCACUCCUUUCAGAGAAGCAGCUUUUAGUGUCGGUUGUCGCUGGAGUCAAGCUAAAAGAUUUGCAGGAGUGGGCAGGUCACAGCCGAUUCAUUAGGGUAAUGCCCAACACCCCAGCUGCUGUUGGUGUAGCUGCGUCUGUUAUUACUCUAGGGGAUGCAGCAACCAAGGAAGAUGGGGAAUUGAUCAGUAACUUAUUUGGAGCAAUUGGCAAAGUUUGGACAGCUCAGGAGAAGCUGUUUGAUGCUAUUACCGGCCUGAGUGCUAGUGGACCAGCAUACAUCUUCUUGGCGAUUGAAGCUUUAGCCGAUGGAGGCGUGGCUGCCGGUCUACCUCGUGAGCUCUCGCUUGGUCUGGCUUCUCAAAUGCAUCAAUGGCAACAAGCACGGGCAAACACCCCGGCCAGCUCAAAGAUGACGUGGCGUCGCCUGGUGGCACGACCAUAGCCGGGAUUCACGAGCUGGAAAAGGCAGGCUUUCGAGGAAUUCUGAUGAAUGCGGUCGUCGCUGCUGCAAAGCGCAGCCAGGAGCUUUCUAAGAAUUAGGUUUCCUGGUGGCUCCGAUUUGAGUACGAAAAAUGUAUGUGCCGGCAAAGAGCGACUCUCAAAAUCGUUGUCAACGCAAGAAAGGAAUAAAAUGGAAUGUUGUACUUCGUUUGCGAGAGAAAAGGCAAGGUUGGAGGCAUUUUCGGUGGUGUUAUUCGAAGUGUGUGUAUUUUGACUUGGUUGGGCAUAGUCGGCGUGAAGGUGGGGUUAGAGUAAAGGAAGAAGUUGAUUCUGAAGUAUCUCAAAAUCGUUGUGAAGGUGGAAGUAAAGUGAAAGAUUUUAUUUUGGUGUUAUUUGCUGGGUUUUCGUUGUUAGUUUCAUUUGUAGGCAUUAUGGUGAGUUUGAAAAUGUAGGUUUUCACAAGUAGAUCGCAGUGCGUGAGUUUGGGAAAAAAUUUUGGCGAAGAAUUGUAGUGCGUGAACUUGGGGAAAGAUUUGAUGUGUUCAAAGCAAUGUAAUUUGAUUAUAUGUUCUAAGUA